GACGAACGCUGGCGGCGUGCUUAACACAUGCAAGUCGAACGGAAAGGCCCUGCUUUUGUGGGGUGCUCGAGUGGCGAACGGGUGAGUAACACGUGAGUAACCUGCCCUUGACUUUGGGAUAACUUCAGGAAACUGGGGCUAAUACCGGAUAGGAGCUCCUGCUGCAUGGUGGGGGUUGGAAAGUUUCGGCGGUUGGGGAUGGACUCGCGGCUUAUCAGCUUGUUGGUGGGGUAGUGGCUUACCAAGGCUUUGACGGGUAGCCGGCCUGAGAGGGUGACCGGCCACAUUGGGACUGAGAUACGGCCCAGACUCCUACGGGAGGCAGCAGUGGGGAAUAUUGCACAAUGGGCGGAAGCCUGGUGCAGCAACGCCGCGUGCGGGAUGACGGCCUUCGGGUUGUAAACCGCUUUCGCCUAUGACGAAGCGUGAGUGACGGUAAUGGGUAAAGAAGCACCGGCUAACUACGUG
rnacentral:rRNA from 1 species